GAUGAACGCUGGCGGCGUGCCUAAUACAUGCAAGUCGAGCGAACAGACGAGGAGCUUGCUCCUCUGACGUUAGCGGAGGACGUGUGAGUAACACGUGGAUAACCUACCUAUCACACUGGGAUAACUUCGGGAAACCGGCGCUAAUACCGGAUAAUCUAUUGAACCGCCUGGUUCAAUAGUGAAAGACGGCUUUGCUGUCUCUUAUCGAUGGAUAUGCGCCGCAUUAGCUAGUUGGUAAGGUAACGGCUUACCAAGGCAACGAUGCGUAGCCGACCUGAGAGGGUGAUCGGCCACACGGGAACUGAGACACGGUCCAGACGCCUACGGGAGGCAGCAGUAGGGAAUCGUCCGCAAUGGUCGAAAGCUUGGCGGAGCAACGCCGCGUGAGAGAUGAAGGUCUUCGGAUCGUAAAACUCGGUUAUGAGGUAAGAACAAAUGUGUAAGUAGCUAUGCACGUCUUGACGGUACCUAAACAGAAAGCCACGGCUAACUACGUG
rnacentral:rRNA from 1 species